AGAGUUUGAUCCUGGCUCAGGACGAACGCUGGCGGCACGCUUAACACAUGCAAGUCGAACGAGAGAAGAGGAGCUUGCUUUUCUGAUCUAGUGGCGGACGGGUGAGUAACACGUGAGCAAUCUGCCUUUCAGAGGGGGAUACCGAUUGGAAACGAUCGUUAAUACCGCAUAACAUAAUUGAACCGCAUGAUUUGAUUAUCAAAGAUUUAUCGCUGAAAGAUGAGCUCGCGUCUGAUUAGCUAGUUGGUAAGGUAACGGCUUACCAAGGCGACGAUCAGUAGCCGGACUGAGAGGUUGAUCGGCCACAUUGGGACUGAGACACGGCCCAGACUCCUACGGGAGGCAGCAGUGGGGAAUAUUGCACAAUGGAGGAAACUCUGAUGCAGCGAUGCCGCGUGAGGGAAGAAGGUUUUAGGAUUGUAAACCUCUGUCUUCAGGGACGAAAAAAGACGGUACCUGAGGAGGAAGCUCCGGCUAACUACGUGCCAGCAGCCGCGGUAAUACGUAGGGAGCGAGCGUUGUCCGGAAUUACUGGGUGUAAAGGGAGCGUAGGCGGGAUCGCAAGUCAGAUGUGAAAACUAUGGGCUUAACCCAUAAACUGCAUUUGAAACUGUGGUUCUUGAGUGAAGUAGAGGUAAGCGGAAUUCCUAGUGUAGCGGUGAAAUGCGUAGAUAUUAGGAGGAACAUCAGUGGCGAAGGCGGCUUACUGGGCUUUAACUGACGCUGAGGCUCGAAAGCGUGGGGAGCAAACAGGAUUAGAUACCCUGGUAGUCCACGCCGUAAACGAUGAUUACUAGGUGUGGGGGGACUGACCCCUUCCGUGCCGCAGCAAACGCAAUAAGUAAUCCACCUGGGGAGUACGACCGCAAGGUUGAAACUCAAAGGAAUUGACGGGGGCCCGCACAAGCAGUGGAGUAUGUGGAUUAAUUCGAAGCAACGCGAAGAACCUUACCAGGUCUUGACAUCGUAUGCAUAGCUCAGAGAUGAGUGAAAUCUCUUCGGAGACAUAUAGACAGGUGGUGCAUGGUUGUCGUCAGCUCGUGUCGUGAGAUGUUGGGUUAAGUCCCGCAACGAGCGCAACCCUUACUGUUAGUUGCUACGCAAGAGCACUCUAGCAGGACUGCCGUUGACAAAACGGAGGAAGGUGGGGAUGACGUCAAAUCAUCAUGCCCCUUAUGACCUGGGCCUCACACGUACUACAAUGGCUGUCAACAGAGGGAAGCAAAGCCGCGAGGUGGAGCAAACCCCUAAAAGCAGUCUUAGUUCGGAUUGUAGGCUGCAACCCGCCUACAUGAAGUCGGAAUUGCUAGUAAUCGCAGAUCAGCAUGCUGCGGUGAAUACGUUCCCGGGCCUUGUACACACCGCCCGUCACGCCAUGGGAGUCGGUAACACCCGAAGCCUGUAGUCUAACCGCAAGGAGGACGCAGUCGAAGGUGGGAUUGAUGACUGGGGUGAAGUCGUAACAAGGUA
rnacentral:rRNA from 1 species